rnacentral:rRNA from 1 species
GACGAACGCUGGCGGCGUGCUUAACACAUGCAAGUCGAACGGAAAGGCCCUGCUUUUGUGGGGUGCUCGAGUGGCGAACGGGUGAGUAACACGUGAGUAACCUGCCCUUGACUUUGGGAUAACUUCAGGAAGCUGGGGCUAAUACCGGAUAGGAGCUCCUGCUGCAUGUUGGGGGUUGGAAAGUUUCGGCGGUUGGGGAUGGACUCGCGGCUUAUCAGCUUGUUGGUGGGGUAGUGGCUUACCAAGGCUUUGACGGGUAGCCGGCCUGAGAGGGUGACCGGCCACAUUGGGACUGAGAUACGGCCCAGACUCCUACGGGAGGCAGCAGUGGGGAAUAUUGCACAAUGGGCGGAAGCCUGAUGCAGCAACGCCGCGUGCGGGAUGACGGCCUUCGGGUUGUAAACCGCUUUCGCCUGUGACGAAGCGUGAGUGACGGUAAUGGGUAAAGAAGCACCGGCUAACUACGUG